CGUGCUAAUCUGCGAUAAGCGCCGGUAAGGUGAUAUGAACCGUUAUAACCGGCGAUACCCGAAUGGGGAAACCCAGUGUGACUCGUCACACUAUCAUUAACUGAAUCCAUAGGUUAAUGAGGCGAACCGGGGGAACUGAAACAUCUAAGUACCCCGAGGAAAAGAAAUCAACCGAGAUUCCCCCAGUAGCGGCGAGCGAACGGGGAGGAGCCCAGAGCCUGAAUCAGCAUGUGUGUUAGUGGAAGCGUCUGGAAAGGCGCGCGAUACAGGGUGACAGCCCCGUACACAAAAGCGCAUGUGCUGUGAGCUCGAUGAGUAGGGCGGGACACGUGGUAUCCUGUCUGAAUAUGGGGGGACCAUCCUCCAAGGCUAAAUACUCCUGACUGACCGAUAGUGAACCAGUACCGUGAGGGAAAGGCGAAAAGAACCCCGGCGAGGGGAGUGAAAAAGAACCUGAAACCGUGUACGUACAAGCAGUGGGAGCACAGGUUUACC
rnacentral:rRNA from 1 species